rnacentral:tRNA from 1 species
AAUUGAUAUAGACCCAAGUCAUUUAGUGAAAUGAGGAAGAACAACGCGUUUAAAAUGGUCGGG